UUAAGCGACUAAGCGUACACGGUGGAUGCCCUGGCAGUCAGAGGCGAUGAAGGGCGUGCUAAUCUGCGAUAAGCGCCGGUAAGGUGAUAUGAACCGUUAUAACCGGCGAUACCCGAAUGGGGAAACCCAGUGUGUUUCGACACACUAUCAUUAACUGAAUCCAUAGGUUAAUGAGGCGAACCGGGGGAACUGAAACAUCUAAGUACCCCGAGGAAAAGAAAUCAACCGAGAUUCCCCCAGUAGCGGCGAGCGAACGGGGAGGAGCCCAGAGCCUGAAUCAGCAUGUGUGUUAGUGGAAGCGUCUGGAAAGGCGCGCGAUACAGGGUGACAGCCCCGUACACAAAAGCGCAUGUGCUGUGAGCUCGAUGAGUAGGGCGGGACACGUGGUAUCCUGUCUGAAUAUGGGGGGACCAUCCUCCAAGGCUAAAUACUCCUGACUGACCGAUAGUGAACCAGUACCGUGAGGGAAAGGCGAAAAGAACCCCGGCGAGGGGAGUGAAAAAGAACCUGAAACCGUGUACGUACAAGCAGUGGGAGCACCCUUUGGGGUGUGACUGCGUACCUUUUGUAUAAUGGGUCAGCGACUUAUAUUCUGUAGCAAGGUUAACCGAAUAGGGGAGCCGGAGGGAAACCGAGUCUUAAUUGGGCGUUAAGUUGCAGGGUAUAGACCCGAAACCCGGUGAUCUAGCCAUGGGCAGGUUGAAGGUUGGGUAACACUAACUGGAGGACCGAACCGACUAAUGUUGAAAAAUUAGCGGAUGACCUGUGGCUGGGGGUGAAAGGCCAAUCAAACCGGGAGAUAGCUGGUUCUCCCCGAAAGCUAUUUAGGUAGCGCCUCGUGAAUUCAUCUCCGGGGGUAGAGCACUGUUUCGGCUAGGGGGCCAUCCCGGCUUACCAACCCGAUGCAAACUGCGAAUACCGGAGAAUGUUAUCACGGGAGACACACGGCGGGUGCUAACGUCCGUCGUGAAGAGGGAAACAACCCAGACCGCCAGCUAAGGUCCCAAAGUCAUGGUUAAGUGGGAAACGAUGUGGGAAGGCCCAGACAGCCAGGAUGUUGGCUUAGAAGCAGCCAUCAUUUAAAGAAAGCGUAAUAGCUCACUGGUCGAGUCGGCCUGCGCGGAAGAUGUAACGGGGCUAAACCAUGCACCGAAGCUGCGGCAGCGACGCUGAUGCGUUGUUGGGUAGGGGAGCGUUCUGUAAGCCUGCGAAGGUGGCCUGUGAGGGUUGCUGGAGGUAUCAGAAGUGCGAAUGCUGACAUAAGUAACGAUAAAGCGGGUGAAAAGCCCGCUCGCCGGAAGACCAAGGGUUCCUGUCCAACGUUAAUCGGGGCAGGGUGAGUCGACCCCUAAGGCGAGGCCGAAAGGCGUAGUCGAUGGGAAACGGGUUAAUAUUCCCGUACUUGGUGUUACUGCGAAGGGGGGACGGAGAAGGCUAUGUUGGCCGGGCGACGGUUGUCCCGGUUUAAGCGUGUAGGUGUGUGUUCCAGGUAAAUCCGGUUCACUUUAACACUGAGGCGUGAUGACGAGGCACUACGGUGCUGAAGCAACAAAUGCCCUGCUUCCAGGAAAAGCCUCUAAGCAUCAGGUAACAUCAAAUCGUACCCCAAACCGACACAGGUGGUCAGGUAGAGAAUACCAAGGCGCUUGAGAGAACUCGGGUGAAGGAACUAGGCAAAAUGGUGCCGUAACUUCGGGAGAAGGCACGCUGACACGUAGGUGAAGUGAUUUACUCAUGGAGCUGAAGUCAGUCGAAGAUACCAGCUGGCUGCAACUGUUUAUUAAAAACACAGCACUGUGCAAACACGAAAGUGGACGUAUACGGUGUGACGCCUGCCCGGUGCCGGAAGGUUAAUUGAUGGGGUCAGCGCAAGCGAAGCUCCUGAUCGAAGCCCCGGUAAACGGCGGCCGUAACUAUAACGGUCCUAAGGUAGCGAAAUUCCUUGUCGGGUAAGUUCCGACCUGCACGAAUGGCGUAAUGAUGGCCAGGCUGUCUCCACCCGAGACUCAGUGAAAUUGAACUCGCUGUGAAGAUGCAGUGUACCCGCGGCAAGACGGAAAGACCCCGUGAACCUUUACUAUAGCUUGACACUGAACAUUGAGCCUUGAUGUGUAGGAUAGGUGGGAGGCUUUGAAGUGUGGACGCCAGUCUGCAUGGAGCCGGCCUUGAAAUACCACCCUUUAAUGUUUGAUGUUCUAACGUGGACCCGUGAUCCGGGUUGCGGACAGUGUCUGGUGGGUAGUUUGACUGGGGCGGUCUCCUCCUAAAGAGUAACGGAGGAGCACGAAGGUUGGCUAAUCCUGGUCGGACAUCAGGAGGUUAGUGCAAUGGCAUAAGCCAGCUUGACUGCGAGCGUGACGGCGCGAGCAGGUGCGAAAGCAGGUCAUAGUGAUCCGGUGGUUCUGAAUGGAAGGGCCAUCGCUCAACGGAUAAAAGGUACUCCGGGGAUAACAGGCUGAUACCGCCCAAGAGUUCAUAUCGACGGCGGUGUUUGGCACCUCGAUGUCGGCUCAUCACAUCCUGGGGCUGAAGUAGGUCCCAAGGGUAUGGCUGUUCGCCAUUUAAAGUGGUACGCGAGCUGGGUUUAGAACGUCGUGAGACAGUUCGGUCCCUAUCUGCCGUGGGCGCUGGAGAACUGAGGGGGGCUGCUCCUAGUACGAGAGGACCGGAGUGGACGCAUCACUGGUGUUCGGGUUGUCAUGCCAAUGGCACUGCCCGGUAGCUAAAUGCGGAAGAGAUAAGUGCUGAAAGCAUCUAAGCACGAAACUUGCCCCGAGAUGAGUUCUCCCUGAGACUUAGAGUCUCCUGAAGGAACGUUGAAGACGACGACGUUGAUAGGCCGGGUGUGUAAGCGCAGCGAUGCGUUGAGCUAACCGGUACUAAUGAACCGUGAGGCUUAACCUU
rnacentral:rRNA from 2 species